UCGCGGCUUAUCACCGGCAGUCCCCUUAGAGUGCCCAACUGAAUGAUGGCAACUAAGGACGGGGGUUGCGCUCGUUGCGGGACUUAACCCAACAUCUCACGACACGAGCUGGCGACAGCCAUGCAGCACCUGAACCGGAGGUCCCCGAAGGGAAGACCCCAUCUCUGGAGCUGUCCUCCGUUGUCUAGCCCAGGUAAGGUUCUUCGCGUUGCGUCGAAUUGAACCACAUGCUCCACCGCUUGUGCGGGCCCCCGUCAAUUCCUUUGAGUUUUAACCUUGCGGCCGUAGUCCCCAGGCGGAGCACUUAAUGCGUUAGCUGCGGCACCGCGGGGGUCACGACCCAUCAAACCUAGUACCCAUCGUUUACAGCGUGGACUAC
rnacentral:misc_RNA from 1 species